GUAUGGAAGGUGUAAGGUUUCCUCCCGGAAUGUGUGUGUAUGUUGCUGUUGCCAUUUAUUUCAGCCCUGAAUGGAAGUCAGAUUGCAGCGGGCGGAUGGCAUCUUGAAAUCAACUCUGAUAGUUUUGGCCCCUCCGCCUCUUUGUGUGGGACUCCUGUGAUGGUUGCUGGUGAUGGAUGAUAGUCGGACAGAGGGCCUGUUUCCUGGAUGUGCCCUCAACUUCCAUGUCACAGACACAGAUAUCCUCUGAGGAUGGGAGGUGCGCAUGCACACACAUGCGCAUACAUGACCCAUAUUCACACACACACACACACACCUUACAUUUUCUCUGUAUAUAACAAUCUUCCAUUCCUUACACUGGCAUAGACUUCAAGUUUUUGGAGCUUAUUUUUCCAUUUUUUGUUUUUUCGCCUGAAGUUCAGAGGUGUCAGGCACUUCUUAGAAACACCUGACACCUCUGUGCAUCCAUGGAACAUUUGAAGUCACAUUACAGCACAGUGAGCGUAUAAAAUAUGAUGAGUACCUGUGAAAAGACAUCAAGCAGGUGAACCCUUUCACAAACCCUCCUCAGGCUAAAUGUUCUGCCAAAAACUACAAACUUGCUUCCAACAAAUCUAUGAAAAACAGUGUGAAUCACAGCACAGAAAAUUCCAACAGAGAUGGAGCCUCAGUUAAGCUGUAGUGUGCUGACAGCCAAAUGAAGCAGAGAAGAAGAAAGACAGUUUUUUUUUUUUCAAUUUUGUUGAUGAAACUUAUUUCAUACUUGUUAUGUAAGAGCUCCUUGAUUUAGAAAGAAGCUUUCUCGUUUCUUGUGUAAGUGAAAUAUAGAACACAGAAAGUAAAAAUAUUAGGUGACAUCUAUCUUGACUUUUUUGGAAAUGCAACUUCUUUUUUUUCCUCUUACACUUUUGGAUUUUGGUGACUAAAAAUACAACCUAUUAGUAACACUCGUCAGAAUUUUGUUUUGAAAACACGUGUGAGCAAUUAAAUUGUUGU